rnacentral:rRNA from 1 species
CAGCAGUGAGGAAUAUUGGUCAAUGGGCGGGAGCCUGAACCAGCCAAGUCGCGUGAGGGAAGACGGUCCUAUGGAUUGUAAACCUCUUUUGUCGGGGAGCAAAGAGGCCACGUGUGGUCAAAAGCGAGAGUACCCGAAGAAAAAGCAUCGGCUAACUCCGUGCC